AGAGUUUGAUCAUGGCUCAGAACGAACGCUGACGGCGUGGAUUAGGCAUGCAAGUCGAACGAUCCCGCAAGGGAUAGUGGCGCAAGGGUGAGGAAUAUAUGGAUAAUUUGCCUUUUAGUUGGGGAUAACCCUGAGAAAUUGGGGCUAAUACCGGAUGUGAUAUAUAAGGUGCUUCUUUAUAUAUUAAAGGUGGCCUAUACCUGUAAGCUGCCGCUAGAAGAGAAGUUCAUACUCUAUUAGCUUGUUGGUAGGGUAACGGCCUACCAAGGCAAUGAUGGAUAGCCGGCCUGAGAGGGUGACCGGCCACAUUGGGACUGAGACACUGCCCAAACCCCUACGGGAGGCUGCAGUCGAGAAUCUUUCGCAAUGGACGAAAGUCUGACGAAGCGACGCCGUGUGAACGAUGAAGGCCUUCGAGUCGUAAAGUUCUGUCACAAGGGAUGAAAGAUUUUUGUGUUAAUACCACAGAUAUUUGACAGUACCUUGAGAGGAAGCCCCGGCUAACUCCGUGCCAGCAGCCGCGGUAAUACGGAGGGGGCAAGCGUUGUUCGGAUUUACUGGGUGUAAAGGGUGUGUAGGUGGUUACUUAAGUCAGGUGUGAAAGCUUCUGGCUUAACCAGAAAAGUGCAUUUGAAACUAGGUAACUUGAGUUUGGAGGAAGAGAGUGGAAUUCUCAGUGUAGCGGUGAAAUGCGUAGAUAUUGAGAAGAACACCUGUGGCUAAAGCGGCUCUCUACUCUGAAACUGACACUGAGGCACGAAAGCUAGGGGAGCGAACGGGAUUAGAUACCCCGGUAGUCCUAGCCGUAAACGAUGGGUACUUGGUGUAGGAAGCAUUGAUCCUUCCUGUGCCGGAGCUAACGCGUUAAGUACCCCACCUGGGGAGUACGAUCGCAAGAUUAAAACUCAAAGGAAUUGACGGGGGCCCGCACAAGCGGUGGAGCAUGUGGUUUAAUACGAAGCAACGCGUAGAACCUUACCAGGGCUUGACAUGUACUGGACAGCCCCUGAAAGGGGGUCUUCCUUCGGGACUGGUACACAGGUGUUGCAUGGCUGUCGUCAGCUCGUGUCGUGAGAUGUUGGGUUAAGUCCCGCAACGAGCGCAACCCCUAUCUUUAGUUGCCAGCACGUCAUGGUGGGCACUCUAAAGAGACUGCCCCGGUUAACGAGGAGGAAGGUGGGGAUGACGUCAAGUCAUUAUGGCCCUUACGCCCUGGGCUACACACGUGCUACAAUGGUCUGCACAGAGGGAAGCAAUACUGCAAAGUGGAGCAAAUCCCAAAAACAGGUCUUAGUUCGGAUUGAAGUCUGCAACUCGACUUCAUGAAGUUGGAAUCGCUAGUAAUGGCGUAUCAGCUACGACGCCGUGAAUCCGUUCCCGGGCCUCGUACACACCGCCCGUCACAUCAUCCGAGUUGGGUGCACCCGAAGGUGCUGUAUCAACCUUUUUUAAGGAGAAAGGCAACGAAGGUGUGUCUAGUAAGGAGGAUGAAGUCGUAACAAGGUA
rnacentral:rRNA from 1 species